rnacentral:rRNA from 1 species
AGAGUUUGAUCCUGGCUCAGGAUGAACGCUAGCGGCAGGCUUAAUACAUGCAAGUCGAGGGGCAGCAUGGUGUAGCAAUACACUGAUGGCGACCGGCAAACGGGUGCGGAACACGUACAGAACCUUCCUUCAAGCGGGGAAUAGCCCAGAGAAAUUUGGAUUAAUACCCCAUAGCAUAAUGGAGUGGCAUCACUUUGUUAUUAAAGAUUUAUCACUUGAAGAUGGCUGUGCGGCUGAUUAGGUAGUUGGCGGGGUAACGGCCCACCAAGCCUGCGAUCAGUAACUGGUGUGAGAGCACGACCAGUCACACGGGCACUGAGACACGGGCCCGACUCCUACGGGAGGCAGCAGUAAGGAAUAUUGGUCAAUGGACGAAAGUCUGAACCAGCCAUGCCGCGUGGAGGAUGAAGGUCCUCUGGAUUGUAAACUUCUUUUAUCUGGGACGAAAAAAGGUCUUUCUAGAUCGUCUGACGGUACCAGAUGAAUAAGCACCGGCUAACUCCGUGCCAGCAGCCGCGGUAAUACGGAGGGUGCAAGCGUUAUCCGGAUUCACUGGGUUUAAAGGGUGCGUAGGUGGGUUGGUAAGUCAGUGGUGAAAUCUUCGAGCUUAACUCGGAAACUGCCAUUGAUACUAUCAGUCUUGAAUAUUGUGGAGGUUAGCGGAAUAUGUCAUGUAGCGGUGAAAUGCUUAGAUAUGACAUAGAACACCAAUUGCGAAGGCAGCUGGCUACACAUAUAUUGACACUGAGGCACGAAAGCGUGGGGAUCAAACAGGAUUAGAUACCCUGGUAGUCCACGCC